rnacentral:rRNA from 1 species
UACGUAGGGGGCUAGCGUUGUCCGGAAUCAUUGGGCGUAAAGAGCGUGUAGGCGGCUCGGUAAGUCCGCUGUAAAAGUCAAAGGCUCAACCUUUGAAUGUCAGUGGAUACUGCCGGGCCAGAGUCCGGAAGAGGCGAGUGGAACUCCUGGUGUAGCGGUGGAAUGCGCAGAUAUCAGGAGGAACACCAAUGGCGAAGGCAGCUCGCUGGGACGUGACUGACGCUGAGACGCGAAAGCGUGGGGAGCAAACAGG